AUUGAACGCUGGCGGCAUGCUUUACACAUGCAAGUCGAACGGCAGCGCGGGCUUCGGCCUGGCGGCGAGUGGCGAACGGGUGAGUAAUGCAUCGGAACGUGCCCAGUAGUGGGGGAUAGCCCGGCGAAAGCCGGAUUAAUACCGCAUACGACCUGAGGGUGAAAGCGGGGGACCGAAAGGCCUCGCGCUAUUGGAGCGUCCGAUGUGGGAUUAGCUAGUUGGUGGGGUAAAGGCUUACCAAGGCGACGAUCCGUAGCUGGUCUGAGAGGACGACCAGCCACACUGGGACUGAGACACGGCCCAGACUCCUACGGGAGGCAGCAGUGGGGAAUUUUGGACAAUGGGGGCAACCCUGAUCCAGCCAUGCCGCGUGCGGGAAGAAGGCCUUCGGGUUGUAAACCGCUUUUGUUCGGGAAGAAAUCCUCUGGGCUAAUACCCCGGGGGGAUGACGGUACCGGAAGAAUAAGCACCGGCUAACUACGUG
rnacentral:rRNA from 1 species